AGGGGCUCAUAUCAAGUGUAAAUUAUGAAAUCUGUCACUGCGGUAAAAAACCCAAUUCAAUUUGAUGGGACUGUAAGAGAAAGAGGAAGAGGAGAAAGAAGAGGAAGAUAGAAUAUGAGAUGCCAAAGCCAAACCCCUUUGGUGAAAAGGGUAUGGGUAUGGCGGCACCUUCAAGUUCUAACCUUCAUUAUUUUCUUUUUCUUUUUCUUUUCAUGUUUUUGUUGAUACUGAUAAAUGGAGAGAAUCCUAACUCUGAUAGAAGUUGGAUUAUGAUUUUCCGAUUAAAUUGGGUGUUUCCCACUACAGACCUCUCUCAUUGUAAUCAUCGCCCC
rnacentral:lncRNA from 1 species